AAUUAAAGUACACUGGUUGUCUACAGGCAAAUGUGAACCUAGUUUGAGCACCUUUUCUGCUCAGUAUAAAUAGACAGCCUGCAUUCCAUCAACAUCUCAUUCACACUUCUGUCUCUGUGAGACCACUUUUAUAUGUUUCUUUUACCUUCAGGCUUUAUUUUUUUCAAUCUCUCCUCAUUCAGUUUUUGUUUUGCUGUCUCGAACUCCUUUCCAUUUCUCCUGUCUACUCUCUUUCCCAGGUUCAUUUCUAGGAUUACAGCUGAUCUCGCUCAAUAAAUAAAUUCCAGUUAAAAGCUUGUUUUCUUUUUGGUUCUGCACAUCAAAAUUUUUCCUGCAGAGCCCUUGAAAACACUGGACACCUGUGUAAUAGGUAAUUGUAUUUACUCUAUGUGGCUGUAAGCCCUCACAUAGUCAUCAUGUUAUCUCUUGGCUGCCAUGAGGAGCCAGGGAACAGUGCCAAGUUAUACCCCAGGAAAGAAGUCAAGACUUUCUAAGAUGGUUUGAUUACUUACAAUGGGGGGCUACAUGGCACUAUUGGCACUAAUAUCAUUUAAGGGAACCAUGGUGAUUUGUUGUGUUACUUUAAAUUAAGCAAUGUUUUAAAAAUGAAUUGGAGAAACGGCAGAUACUCAUCAUAUAUUAGAGGAACAUAAAGUAGCAACUAUCUGUUUAAAGUCCUAGCAUUAACCUUACGACCAUUUUCAGAACGGAAACUGCUUACCAAUAAAUUCUACCAUUAGUAAUAGUUGAGUUCUUGCUUACUGGGUUAAUGGUCUUUUUAGUGAACAGGGACAGUAAAGCAAUGAUCCAAAGACUUAUCAAUGAUUCCCCAUUUCAAUAAUGCAUAUCGGUAACUGUCUAUCACUAACUCCCCUUCUAUUGUUCUUCAGAACUCUGCAAGCCUUAUCCAGUAUCCUAAAAGUAUAAUAUAUAGUCAGUACAAGAUUACCAAAUCAGAAGUGCACCCAAGAACAAUAUUUGGC